rnacentral:rRNA from 1 species
UAGGGAAUCUUCGGCAAUGGACGAAAGUCUGACCGAGCAACGCCGCGUGAGUGAAGAAGGUUUUCGGAUCGUAAAACUCUGUUGUUAGAGAAGAACAAGGACGUUAGUAACUGAACGUCCCCUGACGGUAUCUAACCAGAAAGCCACGGCUAACUACGUGCCAGCAGCCGCGGUAAUACGUAGGUGGCAAGCGUUGUCCGGAUUUAUUGGGCGUAAAGCGAGCGCAGGCGGUUUCUUAAGUCUGAUGUGAAAGCCCCCGGCUCAACCGGGGAGGGCCAUUGGAAACUGGGAGACUUGAGUGCAGAAGAGGAGAGUGGAAUUCCAUGUGUAGCGGUGAAAUGCGUAGAUAUAUGGAGGAACACCAGUGGCGAAGGCGGCUCUCUGGUCUGUAACUGACGCUGAGGCUCGAAAGCGUGGGGAGCAAACAGG